GGGAAAACUGCUACAAGUAUAAUAAUAAAGGUGAUUAUGUUAUGGAGCUCAUGAAGCGGGUGAAAAAGAAUUUCGCGAAGUACUGGACAGCAGCUGGCUUAUAUACUGAUCAUCUGCAAAGUGCCGAAAGCAGUCAAAUUAAGGAGACUACACCUUCAAGUCAUGGAAAGGAAGUUACAAAAAGUGGUUCUUUAACUCACAAACACAACAAAAGGCUUCAAGGGCUCAAGAAGCACAAAGAAGGCUGCCUUUGUGCUAUAUGUGUGAUGAUACGGCGCAGGCAGGAGCGGGAGGAGAUCACCCGGUC
rnacentral:misc_RNA from 1 species